rnacentral:rRNA from 1 species
UACGUAGGCAGCAAGCGUUGUUCGGAGUUACUGGGCGUAAAGGGUGUGUAGGCGGUUGUUUAAGUUUGGUGUGAAAUCUCCCGGCUCAACUGGGGGGGUGCGCCGAAUACUGAAUGACUUGGAGUGCGGGAGAGGAAAGUGGAAUUCCUGGUGUAGCGGUGAAAUGCGUAGAUAUCAGGAGGAACACCGGUGGUGUAGACGGCUUUCUGGACCGUAACUGACGCUGAGACACGAAAGCGUGGGUAGCAAACAGG